rnacentral:rRNA from 1 species
UACGUAGGGUGCAAGCGUUAAUCGGAAUUACUGGGCGUAAAGCGUGCGCAGGCGGUGAUGUAAGACAGUUGUGAAAUCCCCGGGCUCAACCUGGGAACUGCAUCUGUGACUGCAUUGCUGGAGUGCGGCAGAGGGGGAUGGAAUUCCGCGUGUAGCAGUGAAAUGCGUAGAUAUGCGGAGGAACACCGAUGGCGAAGGCAAUCCCGUGGGCCUACACUGACGCUAAUGCACGAAAGCGUGGGGAGCAAGCAGG